UACGAAGGGGGCUAGCGUUGUUCGGAUUCAUUGGGCGUAAAGGGUGCGUAGGUGGCGCGGUAAGUCGGGUGUGAAAUUUCGGAGCUUAACUCCGAAACUGCAUUCGAUACUGCCGUGCUUGAGGACUGGAGAGGAGACUGGAAUUUACGGUGUAGCAGUGAAAUGCGUAGAGAUCGUAAGGAAGACCAGUGGCGAAGGCGGGUCUCUGGACAGUUCCUGACACUGAGGCACGAAGGCCAGGGGAGCAAACGGG
rnacentral:rRNA from 1 species